rnacentral:rRNA from 1 species
GGUUGAUCCUGCCAGUAGUCAUAUGCUUGUCCUAAAGAUUAAGCCAUGCAUGUCCAAGUAUAUACCUAUAUACGGUGAAACUGCGAAAGGCUCAUUAUAUCAGUUAUAAUUUACGCAAUGAAGGCUACUACAUGGAUAACCGUGGUAAUUCUAGAGCUAAUACAUGCAACAAGUCUGACGCAAGAAGGACGGUAUUUAUUAGAUAAGACUCGGCCGGCAACGGCAAGGAGGAAUCAUGAUAACUGUACGGAUCGUAUGACUUUUGUCGACGACGCAUUGCACAAAUUUCUGC